GACGAACGCUGGCGGCGUGCUUAACACAUGCAAGUCGAACGGAAAGGCCCUGCUUUUGUGGGGUGCUCGAGUGGCGAACGGGUGAGUAACACGUGAGUAACCUGCCCUUGACUUUGGGAUAACUUCAGGAAACUGGGGCUAAUACCGGAUAGGAGCUCCUGCUGCUUGGUGGGGGUUGGAAAGUUUCGGCGGUUGGGGAUGGACUCGCGGCUUAUCAGCUUGUUGGUGGGGUAGUGGCUUACCAAGGCUUUGACGGGUAGCCGGCCUGAGAGGGUGACCGGCCACAUUGGGACUGAGAUACGGCCCAGACUCCUACGGGAGGAAGAAGUGGGGAAUAUUGAAAAAUGGGCGGAAGCCUGAUGCAGCAACGCCGCGUGGGGGAUGACGGCCUUCGGGUUGUAAACCGCUUCCGCCUGUGACGAAGCGUGAGUGACGGUAAUGGGUAAAGAAGCACCGGCUAACUACGUG
rnacentral:rRNA from 1 species